UACGGAGCGGCAGACGGGAGAGUAACACGUGGAAACGUGCCCUUUGGUUCGGAACAACCCAGGGAAACUUGGGCUAAUACCGGAUAAGCCCUUACGGGGAAAGAUUUAUCGCCGAAGGAUCGGCCCGCGUCUGAUUAGCUAGUUGGUGGGGUAAUGGCCCACCAAGGCGACGAUCAGUAGCUGGUCUGAGAGGAUGAUCAGCCUCACUGGGACUGAGACACGGCCCAGACUCCUACGGGAGGCAGCAGUGGGGAAUAUUGGACAAUGGGCGCAAGCCUGAUCCAGCCAUGCCGCGUGGGUGAUGAACGCCCUAGGGUUGUAAAGCCCUUUCGGCGGGGAAGAUAAUGACGGUACCCGCAGAAGAAGCCCCGGCUAACUUCGUGCCAGCAGCCGCGGUAAUACGAAGGGGGCUAGCGUUGCUCGGAAUCACUGGGCGUAAAGCGCACGUAGGCGGAUUGCUAAGUCAGGGGUGAAAUCCUGGAGCUCAACUCCAGAACUGCCUUUGAUACUGGCGAUC
rnacentral:rRNA from 1 species